rnacentral:rRNA from 1 species
AGAGUUUGAUCCUGGCUCAGAUUGAACGCUGGCGGCAGGCCUAACACAUGCAAGUCGAGCGGCAGCGGGAAAGUAGCUUGCUACUUUUGCCGGCGAGCGGCGGACGGGUGAGUAAUGCCUGGGAAAUUGCCCAGUCGAGGGGGAUAACAGUUGGAAACGACUGCUAAUACCGCAUACGCCCUACGGGGGAAAGCAGGGGACCUUCGGGCCUUGCGCGAUUGGAUAUGCCCAGGUGGGAUUAGCUUGUUGGUGAGGUAAUGGCUCACCAAGGCGACGAUCCCUAGCUGGUCUGAGAGGAUGAUCAGCCACACUGGAACUGAGACACGGUCCAGACUCCUACGGGAGGCAGCAGUGGGGAAUAUUACACAAUGGGGGAAACCCUGAUGCAGCCAUGCCGCGUGUGUGAAGAAGGCCUUCGGGUUGUAAAGCACUUUCAGCGAGGAGGAAAGGUUGAUACCUAAUACGUAUCAGCUGUGACGUUACUCGCAGAAGAAGCACCG